rnacentral:rRNA from 1 species
AUUGAACGCUGGCGGCAGGCCUAACACAUGCAAGUCGAGCGGAUGCUGGGGGCUUUCACCUGGGUUCAGCGGCGGACGGGUGGGUAAUGCCUCGGCAUCUGCCUAGUAGUGGGGGAUAACUUCCGGUAAUGGGCGCUACUCCCGCAUACGUCCAGAGUGAGUGACUGGGGGAUCUUCGGACCUCGCGUUAUCAGAUGAGCCUAGGUCGGAUUAGCUAGUUGGUGGGCUAAAGGCCUACCCAGGCGAUGAUCCGUAACUGGUCUGAGAGGAUCAGCAGUCACACUGGAAGUGAGACACGUUCCAGACUCCGACGGUAGGCAGCAGUGGGGAAUAUUGGACGAGGGAGGAGAGCCGGAUCCUGGAAAGUCGGGGGUGGGAAGAAGGACUCAGGAUGGGAAAGCGCUGUAGGUCGGGAGGAUGGGCAGUAAGUUUAUACCGUGCUGUUUUGACGUUACCGGAAGAAUAAGCACCGGCUAACUUCGUG